rnacentral:lncRNA from 1 species
UAUAAGGCUUGUUUAGAAUGCAAGGCUUCCUCAAUUCUCCACCCUUCCCCUCUUGACAUCUUGCUCUUCUUCCCUUCAUCUAUUGUGUUAGUCAGGUGCAUGCUGGUCUUCCCUCUAUCAAACUGUAAGCUACUUGGAGACUUGGGAUGCCUCACUCAUCUCUAUUCCCAAACCUCAGGGUCUAUCAUUCUACCUUCUGUAUAGACAGGACUUUCAUAGUUUUGAACAAGUCAGAACCUGAAAGAAUUUGCUUCCAGAACAGGACAUUGACAGGAAAAUUAAGCAUGAUCAUGCCGAGUAAAAUAGGAAUAAGAAUUGGACCUACCUCAAGAUCUGUUGAGAAGAUUAUGAGAGAGCUGAUGGAUCUAAAAGAUUGGCGCUUGAUAGAAUUGGGAUCAUUUGUUUUGACUAGAACAAUCUCUUGCAGCUUGGAUGGAGAAACUUUACAGAGGUUUCAGCCAAACACUCAUGAAUUCUUUAAUGUGUGAAAUAAAGAGCUAAAAUAAUAUCUAAGUUUCCUCUUUGCCUGACGCCAUCCAUGCAAAAUGUGACUUGCUUCUUCAGCAGCAGCAUGAAAACAAACUAAUACACCACUAUUCCUAGUUUGUACAACGAAAGGCUAAAAAUUUGGGAGAUGCAGGAUGACUGAAGCCCGAUUCUGGGGGUUGUUACAGCACAGUUACAGGGCCUUCCUCACACCCAUGUCUUCAGAUACCCAAGGCCUUUAAUACCCAAGUCCUUCCAGGAUUCUGCACAUCUCAUUAGCUUCAUAUUCCCAUAUCAUAGUGCCUCAGAUCCCCUUUCAAGACUGAAAGACUUUCUACUCCAGAUGCCAUUGGCUGAAGACAGCUUCUAUUCAAACAGGGAAAUGGCCUGUCUGCAACAUGCAGCCUUUAUUCUUAUCUGCAUGGCAUACUCCUUCUCCUUCUUUAAAAUUUGAUAAUUUGCUGUAUUAUCAGUGUCUGAUGAUGUUGACAAUGUUGAAGAAGAAGAAAGAAGAGGAGUUGGAGGAGGAGGAAGAAAACAUCCAGAGCAUUCAAUUUAUUCUAGUUAAAUUACUAACCAGAAAGAGAAUGCCCUCGGAAGUCUACUUUAUAAUGCUGUUUGGUUCUAAGUAAAGAGCAUCUAAUAGGGAGACAUGUAAAUCCUGUUUCCAAAACACACUUAGAGGAUUACAGCAUGUGAAAGAUUUGCUCCCUACCUGGCUCAGAGCUACGAAGGUCACAUUGGCUGUCAAAGGACAUGUCUUCUGGCUA